rnacentral:rRNA from 1 species
GAUGAACGCUGGCGGCGUGCCUAAUACAUGCAAGUCGAGCGAACGGACGAGAAGCUUGCUUCUCUGAUGUUAGCGGCGGACGGGUGAGUAACACGUGGAUAACCUACCUAUAAGACUGGGAUAACUUCGGGAAACCGGAGCUAAUACCGGAUAAUAUUUUGAACCGCAUGGUUCAAAAGUGAAAGACGGUCUUGCUGUCACUUAUAGAUGGAUCCGCGCUGCAUUAGUUAGUUGGUAAGGUAACGGCUUACCAAGGCAACGAUGCAUAGCCGACCUGAGAGGGUGAUCGGCCACACUGGAACUGAGACACGGUCCAGACUCCUACGGGAGGCAGCAGUAGGGAAUCUUCCGCAAAGGGCGAAAGCCUGACGGAGCAACGCCGCGUGAGUGAUGAAGGUCUUCGGAUCGUAAAACUCUGUUAUUAGGGAAGAACAUAUGUGUAAGUAACUGUGCACAUCUUGACGGUACCUAAUCAGAAAGCCACGGCUAACUACGUG